rnacentral:sRNA from 1 species
ACUGGGCAUGGUGAUGCAUGCCUAUAAUCCUAGUGGCUCUGGAGGCUGAGACAGGAGGAUCUUGAGUUCAAAGCUAGCCUCAGCAAAAGCGAGGUGCUAAGCAACUCAGUGAGACCCUGUCUCUA